CCAUCCUUCAUAACCGGUACCAAAUAGUUUUUCAUGGAAAGUUCCUAAUUUUGAGAAAACCCGCAUUAGAUGCCUUUCGCCAUACAAAUUUCUGGCGGUUAACUCAUGCUGGCUAUUUUGCGCAUAUAAAUACAAUAGCGCCUGGAUGUAGAAGCGGCGUGUAGAAAAUCAGCCACUGCCAAUAAUUCAUUGUCGAGACAAACUCGCAGCAGUCAGCGGCAUACAUCCGGCUGGCCAGCGGUCACGACCGCAUGGGUCCAACGUGCAUCGAUAUCACCGCUGCCUCAGCAAUGCAAUGCGCCGCCUAUCAACUAUAAACUGGGCAACAGCCAUGAAAAACGCACUCAGAAGGACAGACAUCGUUGAAAGCGCACCGCACAUACCGUAAGCAGUGUUGUCCUACACUCAGUGCAAAAAAUUCUGCUCUUUGAUUUUACUCCAUCCAAACGAUUUUAUAGUCUUUACUAAGACAACACUGGUCCGUAAGUAAUUGGAGAUGUGGCCCUUCUCGGAAAGCAGCCCCGAAGUGACGGUGGAGAACAACAUCUCCACACACAACGUGGCUGGAUAUGCAAUCGACGCCUUAUUCAUCAUCGCUGUAAUCAUCAUCGUGUGGCGUUGGCGACAAAACGUGCGCCGCAUCCGGUCGCUAGAGGCGGCAACGAGACGCAGCAACCUGAACGUGUGAGCGGGCGUCAUCCGACGCCUGCCGAGUAAGCACAUUGGGUGCAUCGGUACCGGCCCGGUCUUGGUGCACACCGCACCACAGUGAAAUCAAUCAAAAGAACUUUGUAGCAAAUUCGUGAAUAAAAUCAAAUCAGUUCUAGUUUAG